GUGAGUGCACCUUUGCACUUUGCUAAGUAACAGGAAGUACUUUGCAAUACCUUUAUUAUUUAAGAUCACGAAAUAAAUAGUAUUUUACGUGUACACGUGGAUCGCUGGCGACCUCUCCUGCACGAUUUCUGGAAGCGCUCUAGGAUUGCAAUGGCAAACUGCAUAGUCCUGUCGGAUUUCAGGAAGCGCCCAGGAGGAACAGCAAUGAUGAGACAGACACCAGACACGCGAUCUUAAAAUCCGCGCUCGACACAAAAUUCCACUGCGCGUUACCGAGAGCAGCAGAGAGCUGAAAGUUUCACCUGAAGCGAGCUGUCAGCUGGGGGGUGGAUCCUGAGAGCAGGAAAUGCCCUGUCCUUUAUUUACUGCGAGAUCACACCUGUUAACAAGGUGACGACACCGGAAAGGUUGAAGGACCGUUUUAUGAACGAAGAAGAGAUAAUUAGAAAAUAUUUAAAGAAAUCUAUAUCUGUACACUACAUCCGUACAUCGGGACUGUUGUUGUUUCUGCGAUAAACGGCAUACAGCGCUUUGUAACGGUCGGUUCGGCUCAAAUUUGCCAUGCAGAGAAAAUGGAAACUACCGAUAUAGACUGAUGUAAAGAACCUGGAGAUGACAAGAGAUACCAAAUGCUCUAGCUGCAAAAUACUUGAAGUUUUGUGAAAUGUUAUCGACGGAAUAUAUGCCUCCGGAUUUUCCACCAUUGCACAAGAUAUGUUCGUCUCUUUGAGCUAUUGGAGUGAACUAUCAGAGCUGUGAACUGUACAACACGUAGAGUCUAAGCAACAAACUGGAGGGGGGAUUAUCAACCUUGGGCCAAACAUGUCAACAACGGACCUGUCAGGAGCUCAUGAACAAAAUAAUUCCUGGAGCGAUUUCGAAGAGAGUUGUUUUCCCCGCUUUAAAAUGGUGGGCCAUUGUCAGGAGCCUAACGAUGCCAUAACGGAAAACUCUUUUGGGGAAUGGAAUUCUUUCAGCCAAGACAACACCAGCGUUGAGGACGCCUACCUGUGUGCAGCGGGCUUUGCAAAGCACUCGGAACACUGGCAACCUUCAGACGUGAACGCACACUUCACACGAGCCUUGGAGACCAAUCAUCAAAAGAUUGUUCAGGUGUGUGCCAGGCAGGUUCUGCUGGAUUCCUUUCCAUUAGUGGAAGGGGGCGAUGAGAUCAGCGAGGCAAGAUUGCUUUCAGAAUUACUUGAAAAAUCUCCAGAGCCCCAAACACAAGGUUUCAGCUGUGAUGCUGCCACCUUGUGGAGCAGAGUGGAGGGUGCACACAGUACACUGGGCUUGGUGGAUCUGUGGACACAAUCCCACAGUCGGAAGGGACUGCUUUCCUCACUGGGUAUCUCCCCAGUGGGUGAGAGUCGGCUGCUUGUGAAGACCAAAUCUCAGGAGACCUGCAAAGAAUUAUCAAGCUCAGGCACUAGGGCACUGAUUCAAACUAAGCUGCUCCAGCCAUCACAAUGUUCACAGAGCGCACCCCACUACCUCUACCAGAUCUCCCAGGAGUGGAUCUCCAGCCAUGGACAACAUCUCCCUAUACAACAUAACAAGAGAGGUUUCUUUUCCUGAAGCCAGCUCCUGUAGUGAAGGAUUUCUGUAAUGCUGUUUACAACACUGAAGUCAAGAGCCGGGAUCUGUUGUGGUAAAACUGUUUGAAUGCACAUUUACGUUGUUGGUACUGUAGUAACACAGAAUGCAUGUUAGAUUUUUCAGUCAACUGCAAAGAUGCCUAAAAUAGAUAAAGGAAGGUGGGGCCCAUAUUCCUAUAUAUGUUACUGUGUGAAAAUUUUAAUUAGGAAUAACAAAAAGUUGUCCAAAGACGUACCUGUCGCUUAAUUGGCUUCUGGGAAAAUUGUCCCUAGGUGUGAGUGUUUGUCUGUGUGCCCCGCGAUGGACUGGCGUCCUGCCCAGUGUGUACCUUACCUUGGGCCUGUUGUUUGCCAGGUUAGGCUCUAAACUGGAACAAUCAGUUAUAAAAUGGAUGAAUGUCUGGAAGAAAAAGGUGACUUAUGUUACCACCAAAAAGUGUAUAAAAUGUACUUUUCACAAACUUAUAAAAAAAUACAAUGAAAAACU